GAGUAAAGCGGCGGACGGGUGCGUAACACGUGGAUAAUCUGCCCUUCGGUGGGGAAUAACGUUCCGAAAGGAACGCUAAUGCCGCAUGUCACAACAAUGUCUCUGGACAAAGUUGGAAAAGGGGACGCCCGCAAGGGGUUCUCGCCGGAGGAUGAGUCCGCGGCCCAUCAGCUUGUUGGCGGGGUAAGGGCCCACCAAGGCGAAACGGGUAGCUGGUCUGAAAGGAUGACCACCCACACUGGGACUGAAACACGGCCCAAACUCCUCCGGGAGGCAGCAGUGGGAAAUAUUGCACAAUGGGCUAAAGCCUGCUCCACCCCUGCCCCGUGGGUGAUGAAUGUUUUCUUAUCCUAACGCCCU
rnacentral:rRNA from 1 species